GACAUCGCCGCCGUACUCCUCCGCUCGGCUACAGCUCUCGCGCGAGCCGCUCUCCGACGAAGUGCACCAGUGUAAAGUGCGUGCGAGUGCGUGUGCGUGGGUUCGCCGAUUGUGCGCGCGCUGUGUAUGUGUGUGCGUGUGUGUGUGUGUGUGUGUUUGUGCGUGUUCGCCGAUUGCCGACGACAUUACGGGAACACCGCGGGUCAGUGUGCGCCGGUGCGUGACAAUCGUUCGCGCGCGGAUUUUAUUAUCAUUUUUUUUUUUUCCCCAUUAUUUUUUUCGCGGAUUUUUUUUCCCCCGCCCACGAUAAUCUACGGCUGUCGCGAUACCUAACCUCAUCCGUAAUUACGUUCGCGCACAGCAGCUGAUGACUUACGUAUUAUAACGUAAACGUACCGGCAUGCGAACGCAUCGACCACAACAACAACAACAACAAUAACAAUAACAUUAAUUUUAAACCGUGCCGUCGAACGCGCGGCGAUACGCAUACGGACAUGCCCUGUGGAUAGACCCGUCACGGCCCGCGUACCCGCGACUUUCCCGAACUAAAGGUU